GUGUUCACUGUGUAAGCCUUGGU
rnacentral:miRNA from 1 species